UCGAAGGUACUAUUCAGAAUCAUUUGUUUAGUAAAUCUAUCGAUACCAUUUGCAGCAAUUGCGAUCCUUAGGGCUGGGAUGACGAGUCGAGGCAGUAGGCUGUAUUGAAGAUGGACACUUGUGUCUACUUGAUGAUAUAUAGACGUUUAGUCCUAGCCUGCUGUGUUCUGACCAGC
rnacentral:snoRNA from 1 species